rnacentral:lncRNA from 1 species
CCCAACAAAAAGCAAAUAUUUGAACGAAACUCAUGCUUAAAAGAAUAGCAGAAAUAAUGGAGCAUUUGAGGAAGGAUCCACUUGGUUGAUGUUUUCAUUGACUGCCUGAUGUACCACAACAGGCAAGAAGCAGAGAUCAUUGAAGUAUCAUGCAAAGCCAAACAAUGAACAAACCAAGGUAAAAUAAUGAAGAUAGGGAAAUACAUUUUCAAGCAACAUCAUUGGAGCAUCAUGAGGUUACUAACCGAAAAAAAGAAGAAAAGAGAACUACCUUGAACAGAUUAUUCAUUGAUAUAAACAGGUGACAUUUUAGUUCCUUACAUUAAAGGCACAUGGUCAAAGUACCAUGGAGACCGCUGUACUAGGAGUCAGAUUGCAUUUUGGACACUUUACUCAAAAAAUGGACAAAUUAGUCCCUGUACGUUAAAUUAAAGAGUUAACUAGUUCUUUCUGUUAAAGUUUUCAUGCAUUUCUACCAUUAAAAAUUGGUGUAACUGAUAGAAUAAUCAGACAAUUACACGUGACGUGUCAUGUCUACCUCAUGUUGAGGUACAAGGACCAGUUUUUAACAGUAGAAUGGAAGAAAUUUUUAAUAGAAGUAUCAGUUUGCUCUUUGAUCUAACAUACAUGGACUAUUUUGCUCAUUUUUUAGUAGAAGGGGCAAAAUGCAAUCUAACUCCUAGUACAAAAGCCUCUAUGGUACUUUUACCAUGGCACAUAGAUUUAAUAGAACACGAUAGAAAUAUCAAGCACCAUGAACCUGAAGGCUAUCUUUUGGGUGAAUAAUCGUGCAGUUCUGAAACAUCAAAUAAAGGGUAAUUGUUGUUUAAAGGUAUCGAUGCAAACCAAGUAGACUUUGGCAUAUGUCUAUCUUCAUGGAAAUGCAGACUUAUUGUUUUUCAUUUUGUAGUAAAUGAAACCAUUAUACAUUUUUUUCAGAGGUUAAAAAACUUUGUAAAGCAGUUAUGCAGGCCCCAAUUUUUAAAAUGAAACAGCAGAUUACAAAAGCCUAACACAAGAAAGUAAACAAAGAGUGAUGAAUCUUUAUAUACAUGUAUCCUUCUGACUAAUGAGAGCCUAAACAUUUCCGUAUGGUGUCAGCUUUUACGAGUUGAUAACAUUUUUGGAACACAAUGCAUCAUCGAUGUUAGAUCCAUGACAUUGAACCUUUUUUUGUCCUUAAUAAUCAGAUAUGACCUAAGGGCUUAUUAUAUCAUGAACCUGAUUGAUAUGAAAUGCUAUGCUUCUUUUUUUCGUUAGGAGAAAGAGCAGGGGUUCUACAGGGAUCAAACUCGAGACUGAUAUUAUGGCGUCAACUGAAGUUGACAAAAUGCUAUGCUAUGUUUCAAUGGUAGAAUUCAAUCUCGAAUUUGCUAAUUCACUUUGACCACAAUAAUGACAGCAACUGUUGCAAUAAUACAAAGAUAUUUCUUAAACAGAAUGUACUCUUUCUCCUAUAUAUAUCUUCAAAUUUCAAUCUCAUUUUUACCUAAAAUCAGGUUCGAACUUCAAAUGACUAAUCCAAAAUUGCUAUAAAAUGAAAUAAGUCUCAAGAACAAUAUGUGCGUUAAUUUCUGGACAUACCUGAAGUUUCAAGAACAAUUCCUUCAAGAAAUAAUGAGCUCACCAAGGCUCAAUCAAGCCAGUAGCCAGUAGAAAAGCAAUCUCAUUUCUUCUCGGCUCAGAAACGCAGGUUCCUCCACCGGCGACCGCCCUAUAAUCUGACGCCCCUCUCUCUUUUUUCCCUUCUUCUUGGGCUGCCGCUUAAGCCGCUUACGCUUGACUUGCGGGAGGGUGAGGAUGAAGAAGAGCAAGAGCUCAGCCCUGUGCGGCGGGCUCCUCGACGGUAGGUUUCUGAGUUUUGAUCGAAAUUUAGGGUUUUCCGGGAGGCGAAGCGGCGAUGAUCGGGUUCGUCAGGGAAAGAGAGUGGAUUUGUAGCGGCAGUUUCAGUUUAAUUGGAUAAACAGUAGACUGUUGGUUAUUUCUCUUGUCUCCCCAAAAAUCAACUAUUUAUGUUUAUGUCCAUCGUAUUUUACUUUUUCUAUUUUCUAUUCUACCAAAAUUCAUUGAGUUACUGGGGCGGCCAUGUAAUCUUUAUUAUCUAAAAUUUAAAAAAUAUUUUAAUAGUUAUUUAUGGAAGUAAAACCGUUUGAAUGUUACUUAUUGUAAUUGAGGAACCAUUAUUACUUAAUUUUACGAAUUAUCAAUAUUCUUG